rnacentral:lncRNA from 1 species
AGCUCAUGCCUAACUAUAAUUCCAGCCGGGCAAUGAUACAAUACAAUACAAUGUAAAUUCAUCAAGUGAAUUCCCUUUCACUUACAACUGAUAUUAAUGGCACCUACAAUGAACGAUCUUUUGCAAAUCAAAUUGAGUCGCCUUCUAAGAUUUUAUCAUAAGCAGUUUUGUAUACUCAUAUUCAGGCGGCAUCUUAAGACAUCUCAAUCUCAAAAGACAUGCACAUACAACAGCCGCGGGCUCCAUGAGAUACGAAAUGCCAACUGGCACACACACUGCGCAUGCGUACGUGAUUUUGUGAUUUAAUUAACUGUGGCCUGGCAACAGCACACAGCUGUACGCAUGGCACAUCAAUGCUCGUAUGUACUGCAAACUUAAGCAGCAGUAAAGUAAGGUGAGUAACAGGCAUUGACUUUGGUAAUGAAAACAAUUCGCUGUGGUCUAAUUUCAGCGCAGUCCAGUCGAGUUCAGGCCAGGCCCUUCAUGCAAGAAUGCCUCAAUUGAAGGACUUCCCAGAAUGAUUCAUAGGCAUUCAGCUGGUUGCCGCUAAGCGUUAAUUAAAUACUUGCAGAACUUGCAAGGUCACUGUCAUAAAUUUAACAAUAUGUAGACAUACUCGUAAGUGUAAUGCAGGCAGGCCAUGU